GUAGGGUGCGAGCGUUAAUCGGAAUAAUUGGGCGUAAAGGGUGCGCAGGCGGUUUGUUAAGACGGAUGUGAAAGCCCUAGGCUUAACCUGGGAAUGGCAUACGUGACUGGCAAACUAGAAUAUGGCAGAGGGAGGUGGAAUUCCAUGUGUAGCAGUGAAAUGCGUAGAGAUGUGGAGGAACACCGAUGGCGAAGGCAGCCUCCUGGGUCAAUAUUGACGCUCAGGCACGAAAGCGUGGGGAGCAAACAGGAUUAGAUACCCUGGUAGUCCACGCCCUAAACGAUGUCAACUAGUUGUUAGGGAAAUUUUUCCUUGGUAACGUAGCUUACGCGUGAAGUUGACCGCCUGGGGAGUACGGUCGCAAGACUA
rnacentral:rRNA from 1 species